CAAUUAUGGUAAUAAUUGAAAAAUUAUAAUUAAGCAUUUUCAUCUAGUGUUGCGCAUGUUUCGGCCCUGACAGCAAGCAAGACUACUGUGGACCAAGAUGCCAAGCUAUCAACGGUGGGACAAUUUUGAAAAAGGGGGACAAAAUUCGUGUUUGGUUUUGGAUCCGUUCAUCUUUAUCAAAAAGAGUUUGGAAAAAAUGCAUGGAAUAUGAAAAAAUGAACAGUUCUGGACAAUUAGAAACAUGGCAUGUUAAGGAAACAGGUCGGCG
rnacentral:lncRNA from 1 species